rnacentral:misc_RNA from 1 species
UGAUGGUUAUUGAUAAAGCUUUAAUUAUAUUUAGUAGCGCGGUACAAACGAAGUACAUAGAUUUCUGAGUCUCAGUUAUGUUUAGUAUAUUUAAUUUGAAAGCUAAGUAUGCGUUACACUUGUCUCUACAGUUUACAGAUGAUCAGUUGAAAAUUGCACAGUGAGAGUUAAGGAAGUUAGUAAAGGGUAUCAAGGAAUCAUAGAACCUGUCCUUAAGAGACAACAUCUUUAUGGAAAUGGGGUCUUAUCUCCCCAAUUCCGCUUCUGAAUCUGUGAUAACUAGCUCAGGUGGGCAGAGUACAAAUACUUUUUCCAAUGAAGGAAAUAUACACCAUUGCAGUGCUCAUCUUGAUGAUGAAAUGCCUCAGAUAGUAUUGUGUGAAAUCAGUUUAUGCUCUUCCAUGGGUGUCAAAUGCACCAGAAUCCAGGGAAUUGCACACAGUGGCAACAACAGUCAGAAUGCUUCAGACAAUUCAGACUUUGAGAGUAGAACUCAGGGCAGCAGUCUCACUGCAACCAAAUCACAGAAUGCUUCUGACACUUUAGACUUUGAGAGUGGAACUCAGGGCAGCAGUCUCACUGCAACUAAAUCAUAUCUUUCAGGGGCCAAAUCUUUGGAGUCAUUAUAUUCUGCUUCUCAGAUUGGUUUAUUAAGCACUUUUCAUCAUUUACCACUACAGAGUACACACUGUUUAAAAGGUUUUGGCUGUGUAAUGCUAGAAACAGAGACUAAAUUAAGUACUCCAAAUGUAGUUAAAGAGAAAGAAACUGUUGGCCAUUCAACUGACAUUUUGGGGAAUCUUUCUGAUAUGAUAUGCCCCUUGGAUACCAGAAAUAUCAUUAUGAAUGAGAAUGGACACAGCACUUCCUUGAAUGAACAGGGAUCAUCAUGCUCAUCCACAAAGUUGCACUUUCCAGUUACAAAUGUUUCAAACCAAAGUGCCUUGAGUAGUCAAGGGAAUAAAAUUAAUGUAUUGGGAAAUUAUCCUGUAGGCAGUACAUCGGUUAAAAAGUCGUUUGCUUCUCAGAAUGGUCUUGAUAAUUAUGAAGAACUGAUAGGUGCAGUAGGAGGAUGUGAUCAGUCUUCAGAAGUUAACAAUUCCAAACAUAAAUGUGUACCUCCAAUCCGACUUGGGCUGUUGGGAGGUGGAGAAAACUCUGUGAAUAAUGGGACGUCAACAUGGAAUUCAGGCUCACAAGGUAGUGCUGGUGCAUCAAACUGGAGUGUAAAUAACAAUAACAGUGCUGGAGCUCACUUUAAUUCUAUUGGAAGACAAGGAGGACCAGGCUUCUCUUCUGGCAGUAACUGUGAUGAUCAAGGUAGGUCACUCCCAAAUACUUGGGCACUGGCAGCUGGAAAAGGACUUGAUAGUAAUCCUACUAAUGGAAAUGUUCUAAAUGGUCAAAAUUCCCAGAAUGAGAAUGGACAUUCAGUCAAACUUUAUAAUGAAGAACAUUUGUCAGAGAUUCACAGUACAGCUGCUCAAAAUGAUGGAUGGGGGAAGACAGUUAUCAAUCAAGACUCAUCAUGGGAUGAUCCAAACUCCAGUCCCAAAGAAACUGACAGCUCUGUUUGGGAAGGAUCAGCCAACAGCGGCACUGAGAUUUGGGAAAAUAACAUUCGGAAUCCUAAUAACGGAGGCAGCAUGGCUACACCUGGCCGCAACAAUUCCCUACCCUUAGGUCACACCCCUUCUACACACCUUGGUGGAACAUGGGGUGAAGAGGAAGAUACCAAUAUGUGGAGUGGCAUUGACCAAGGACCAAACAUUUUGGGAAAUUCUGGUAGACAGGACCAAUGGUGUGGACCUGGACGUAGAUCAAGGGUUGAGCCAGGAGUAGCAAGUAGCGGUCCAGGAAACAGACAAGAAACUGGAGGUUCAAUGUGUAAUAAAGUAACAAGUAGAACUUGGUCACCUGUGGCUACACCAAAAAAAAAAGAUUUUCAAGCUUCAGGAUGGGAAGGGUAUUCUAAUCCAGUAACCAGCCAUCCGACAUCCAGUUUUGAUGAUGGUACCUCCAUGUGGGGUAAUCCUCAGCGGCAAGGAAAAGUGUGUAAUUGGAAGGAUAUGCUUCCUUCUAAACCAACCAGUGGAAUAGGAAUAAUAGGUGGUAAUGUGCCACGUUUUAGACCUAGCCUUCCACCAAGUGGUCCAGGCAUGAUACGUUUGCCUCCAUCCUUUAGUCCAUCAAACAAACCAGAUGUGGGACCUACAUUGUUGGGCAAGAUGUCGGCCUUGAAUCAUGGGCCAAAUUGGUCAGACCUGCCCCACAGAGGUUCCCCAGGCCCAGGGGUUUGGGAUGAAACCCAUAUAUACCCUGCAUUUAAGAAUAUGCCAGGAUCCCCAAACUGGGGAGAAUCCAACCAUCCCAUGGGGCCAACAUAUUGGGGUGCAAAGCCAAAAACUGCUUCCACAUUAAACUUUGAUGGACAGAUCAACACUAGUGGUUGGGCUUCAGUGAAGAGUAGCAAGCCAUUGGGUAAAGAUCUCAUUUGUACAAGUAAGCAGUACCGCGUUUUGUCAGAGAUGGGAUACAAGAAAGAAGAUGUAGAAAAUGCUUUGCGAAACAAUAAUAUGAGUUUAGAAGAGGCACUUGGAGAACUUCACACACUUGCAAACAAAGAUAAAAAUCUGAUGGAUGUUGUAGGUGGUUAUCAUAAAAUGCAAACUAUUGUGGAUGACGUAAGCUUGAACGAUCCCUUGGCUGAUUCAAUGUGUGGAGCCAUACAGGAUUAUGAAGGGAUCCAUGUCCCUCCUGUGUUUGGUGGGAUUCAAACUUUCAAACAUCAGAAACAUGGGACUUUGAAUGCACUUAGUGGAAGAAUGAACCAACCAUCAGCAGCUCAUUUGAAAGUUCUCGUUCAACAGAUACAAGUAGCAGUUCAAGCAGGACACCUUAAUCCCCAGAUCCUUAACCAGCCAUUGGCCCCUCAGACAUUGCAGCUUCUCUAUCAACUGUUACAAGAGAUCAAACUUCUGUAUGAGAUUCAGCAGCUGCAUGGUUCUCAGCAGUUUGGUAAAGGAGGACCUUUACCUCCGCAGUUAAAUGUGCACAUGACUCAAACCAAGCAGCGGAUCCACAGUUUACGUAAUCAGAUUGCUGCCCAGCAAGCUAACUUUAUAAAACAUCAUCAAGUACACCAGCAGCUGCCUGAAACAGCAAACCUGUCAACCCUUCAGUCACCCUCUCAUGAGCUGUUCAAGCCUGGUUUAGAACAUUUAACUUCAGAACUUUCCAUUAAGGAGCCCUCAACACUUAAACCCCUGUCUCGGCUAUCCCAGUGGAAGCUACCAUCUCUGGACAAGGAUGAACAAAACUUGCUGGUUGGAAAUACUGAAAGAAGCAAUAAUGGCUUAGGGGAUUUUAGUCGUGCUCCUGGAACUGUGUCAAAGCUUGGAACUUCGUUACAUGCUUCACUUUCAUCACCUGUAAUAAAUCUAAGUGAGAGUUUACCAUGCACUCUGAACUGUCCUGGAGCUUGGCCUGUUUCUCCUUCUGAAGGCACCAGAAUUAUCCAUCUACAUAAUAAUAUGAGCAUGAAUAAUAUGAAUAGUUCUGACUCAACAUCCAUAAGUUCAUCAACCAGGAAUGUGGAGAGUGAGCCAAAAGCCACCACUUCUUCAACCACAAGCGCACAACCAUCUUGUAACUUGAAUGAUCUUGUGACAGAAUUUGAGCCUGGUAAACCAUGGAAAAGUAUUUCUCAUGGAAAAAAUGUUGAAGGUGAUAACCAUCUCACACCAAGCAGUACAGCUUGCUCUCCUUUCUCCCUGAGUUCUAUUAAAGACACAGAUUGGACAUCCAAAUCUAGACCUUCACCCACAAGCAGCGGGGAUUCUCUUGUAGCCUCACUAGCUUCGCUGACUUCCAGUCCUUGGACUUUUAAUCCAGUUACAUCAAAUGAUAGUGGCUGCAAGCCAGGUUGGGGACAGCUUGGACCCAGAAAACUACCUUUGUCAGGAGCCUGGGGAGCACCAGGAUCUAAGAUUCAUAGACCUCCUGGAUUUAUUGGACAAGGAAAAGCAGUGGAUAAACAGAAUUCCUUUCUUGUGCUUCGAAAUCUCACUCCUCAGAUUGAUGGAUCUACCUUGAAAACUCUUUGUCUGCAACAUGGUCCACUUCAGCUCUUCCACCUCCUUCUGAACAAAGGAAUUGCCAUUGUCAAAUACUCUACAAAAGAGGAGUCUGCCAAAGCUCAGUCAGCUCUGAAUAAUUGCGUUCUGGGAAAUACUACUAUCUUUGCAGAGAUUCCCACAGAGGCUGAAGUCCAGAAUUACUUGCAUCAUACUGGAAGUGGACAUACAUCAGGUACGAGUGGGGUAGCAUGGUCAGAUAAUAAGUCUACAAAUGUUGGUUCUAAUAUCGAAGGAAGCAGCACAUUUCCAUAUGGAGGAGGCCCUUGUGGUACGAAUCAUGAAAAGGCUGAUCCUAAUGCAUGGAAUAUUACUAACAAACCAGAUGGACCAUCUCAAACAUGGUCUUUCUCAGGUUCAGGAAGUGGUUUGUGGGGAACUACCCAGUCUAUGAAUGGGACAAUGAACUGUUUCUUGCCAGGGGACUUGCUAGGUAGUGAUGCUUUUUAAUGUUGAGAGACAUUGCUGUGUUCAGUCACAAUGUGUUGAGAGAACAUUUCUCCAAACUUGGCUCGUGUUUAAGAAAUACUUCUUGAUAACAAAAAUGUUUAUCAAUCUUAUGUACUACAACUAACACGGAUAGUGAGACUUUCAUGGUAUGAAAAGUAAAUUGAUAUUUAUAUCAAUGUACCUGUUGUAAGAAGAGUUCUUCAUGAUAUGACCUGCGGAACCAACAGUGAAAAAGAGUUA